rnacentral:rRNA from 1 species
GCUGGCGGCGUGCUUAACACAUGCAAGUCGAACGAUGAAGCCUAGCUUGCUAGGUGGAUUAGUGGCGCACGGGUGAGUAAUAUAUAGAUAACGUGCCUCUUAGUCUGGGAUAGCCAUUGGAAACGAUGAUUAAUACUAGAUACUCCUUCUCUAUCAAAUUAGAGUCGGGAAAGUUUUUCGCUAAGAGAUCGGUCUAUAUCCCAUCAGCUAGUUGGUAGUGUAAGAGACUACCAAGGCAAUGACGGGUAGCGGGUUUGAGAGGAUGAUCCGCCACACUGGUACUGAGACACGGACCAGACUCCUACGGGAGGCAGCAGUGAGGAAUAUUGCACAAUGGAGGAAACUCUGAUGCAGCAACGCCGCGUGGAGGAUGACGCAUUUCGGUGUGUAAACUCCUUUUAUAUGUCAAGAAAAUGACGGUAGCAUAUGAAUAAGCACCGGCUAACUCCGUGCCAGCAGCCGCGGUAAUACGGAGGGUGCAAGCGUUAUUCGGAAUCACUGGGCGUAAAGGACGCGUAGGCGGGAUGCCAAGUCUGAUGUGAAAUCCUAUGGCUUAACCAUAGAACUGCAUUGGAAACUGGUAACCUAGAGUAUGGGAGGGGGAGAUGGAAUUAGUGGUGUAGGGGUAAAAUCCGUAGAUAUCACUAGGAAUACCGAAAGCGAAGGCGAUCUCCUGGAACAAUACUGACGCUAAGGCGUGAAAGCGUGGGGAGCAAACGGGAUUAGAUACCCCGGUAGUCCACGCCCUAAACGAUGUUCACUAGUCGUCGGGAUGCUAGUCAUCUCGGUGAUGCACUUAACAGAUUAAGUGAACCGCCUGGGGAGUACGGU